GGGUCCUGCUGUCAAGACACUUGGGCUGGAAACACCAGCAUCAACCUCACCAGCUUCCUCCACAUGCACCAAGACACCUCACAGGUCCCACGCAGUGGGGUGGUCUGUGCCUUCGGGUGCCCCAUUUCAGCGGGCUCGUGCACCUUGCCGGAGACGUCCUGCAGAGACAGGAGCUCCAUAAGCAGGCGGUGCCACAGAACAUCCCCAGUGACUGUGAACCGAGCAGGGACCUAACGGGGAGCUUACCAUGCCGGGCUAAUGUUUGUAUUUUUAGUAGAGACGGGGUUUCACCAUGUUGGCCAGGCUGGUCUCGAACUCCUGACCUCAAGUGAUCCGCCGGCUUUGGCCUUCCAAAGCGCUGAGAUUGCAGGCAUGAGCCACUGUGCCUGGCCUUAAUUUUCAUUUCUUGUAUUAUCACUGAGAUGAAACAUAUUUCUAUGCAUUAACCAGUUUGUUUUUCUUCUUUUUUGAGACAGGGUCUCACUGUCAACCAGGCUGAAGUGCAGUGGUGUGAUAACAGCUUACUGCAGCCUCAACUUCUCAGGCUCAAGUGAUCCUCCCACCUCAGCCCCCCAGGUAGCUGGGACUACAGGUGUGCAC
rnacentral:lncRNA from 1 species